rnacentral:lncRNA from 1 species
GGAAGGUAGUUGCCUGCUGUGGUCUAAUAUGUGAAUCCCGGCUGGGCGCGGUGGCUCACGCCUGUAAUCCAGCACUUUGGGAGGCUAAGGCGGGUGGAUCACGAGGUCAGGAGAUCGAGACCAUCCUGGCUAACACGGUGAAACCCCAUCUCUACUAAAAAUACAAAAAACUAGCUGGGCGUAGUGGCGGGCGCCUGUAGUCCCAGCUACUUGGGAGGCUGAGGCAGGAGAAUGGCGUGAACUUGGG